rnacentral:rRNA from 1 species
UACGUAGGUGGCAAGCGUUGUCCGGAAUUACUGGGUGUAAAGCGCGUGUAGGCGGCAGACCAAGUCGGCGGUGAAAGCGCCCGGCUCAACUGGGCGAGGUCCGUGGAAACUGGUCAGCUGGAGGACGGUAGAGGCGAGUGGAAUUCCCGGUGUAGUGGUGAAAUGCGUAGAGAUCGGGAGGAACACCAGUGGCGAAGGCGGCUCACUGGACCGGUUCUGACGCUGAGGCGCGAAAGCGUGGGGAGCAAACGGG